rnacentral:lncRNA from 1 species
AAUCGUUGUUCUUUACUUUUUCUUUUACUUUUGCUAACUCUAGCAAUUAUAUUCUUUACAUUCUUUACUUUUGGCUACCUCUAGCACUUCGUGUUCUUUACUCCCCACAUUACUUUAACUUUAAACAUUGUCAUUUUCAUCAUUCUUUACAUCACGUUAGUUCUUUGCAUCACACUACCUCUAGUGUCUCUUUACUUCACAUUUUCAAAUGCCACUCGAUCUAUAUCAUUGUGCCACUCUGUUCUUUUGCUCACUUUGGGUGCUCACUUUUCUCUCAUGCAUACACAUAGGGUUUUCGACGUUUACAUAGUUCUCAUUCAUCAUAUUAUGCAAGUUGUACUCACAAUCAUGCAACAUUACAUUUUCAUCAUUACUUUACCCUAAAAUGCAUGCAACA